rnacentral:rRNA from 1 species
AUUGAACGCUGGCGGCAGGCCUAACACAUGCAAGUCGAACGGUAGCACAGAGAGCUUGCUCUCGGGUGACGAGUGGCGGACGGGUGAGUAACGUCUGGGAAACUGCCCGAUGGAGGGGGAUAACUACUGGAAACGGUAGCUAAUACCGCAUAACGUCGCAAGACCAAAGUGGGGGACCUUCGGGCCUCACACCAUCGGAUGUGCCCAGAGGGGAUUAGCUAGUAGGUGGGGUAAUGGCUCACCUAGGCGACGAUCCCUAGCUGGUCUGAGAGGGUGACCAGCCACACUGGAACUGAGACACGGUCCAGACUCCUACGGGAGGCAGCAGUGGGGAAUAUUGCACAAUGGGCGCAAGCCUGAUGCAGCCAUGCCGCGUGUAUGAAGAAGGCCUUCGGGUUGUAAAGUACUUUCAGCGGGGAGGAAGGCGGUGAAGUUAAUAGCUUCACCGAUUGACGUUACCCGCAGAAGAAGCACCGGCUAACUCCGUGCCAGCAGCCGCCGUAA